rnacentral:lncRNA from 1 species
ACAUCUGGAUCUAAGCAAAGACCAGUGACUGGAUCAGACAAACCCAUGACUGAUGAAGAGCUUGCUAGAUUGAUUUUUGAACAAGAAAAUCCAGAAGCAAAUUUGGAUUUGGAGUUGAUUGCUGCAGAAGAAGAAGAACUAAAGAAAGAACAUGCUGAAGCAGUAAAGUCAGGAAAAAUCCAAAAGCCUGCAAAGUCAACUACCAAGCCAAAAGAAAAAGGAAUACUGAUCAAAGAAGCUACUGUUGCUGAUCAGAGUUUACCAAUCAAGAAGGUAUACUCUGAAGAUGAAUACACCUCCAAGGGUAAAAGCAAAGUAGAUGAACGUCUGGAGAAAGG